rnacentral:rRNA from 1 species
UACGUAGGGGGCAAGCGUUGUCCGGAAUCAUUGGGCGUAAAGAGCGUGUAGGCGGCCAGAUAAGUCCGCUGUGAAAUCUCGAGGCUCAACUUCGAGCUGUCGGUGGAAACUGUCUGGCUAGAGUCCGGAAGAGGAGAAUGGAAUUCCUGGUGUAGCGGUGAAAUGCGCAGAUAUCGGGAAGAACACCCGUGGCGAAGGCGGUUCUCUGGGACGGUACUGACGCUGAGACGCGAAAGCGUGGGGAGCGAACAGG